ensembl:lncRNA uncharacterized LOC109324171
AUGAUGUUCAGCUGGCACAAGACAUUCACCGUUGGAGCUCUGUGGAGAAGAGGCAAGAAGAGCCCUCCCUCUGAGGACAAAGUCGUGCUGACUCACAUGAAGAUGCUAAGCUAUGCAGGGAGUCAGGAUCUGGAGCCUCCUGCAGCUUCAGAUUGUGCAGAAGAAUCCAGGCUUCCCCAAGUCAACAUCCAGGGAAACCUUGAUGUAACAGACACUCCAGCAAAUUCAGAUUACACAGCUACCCUGUCUGAUCUCAGCACCUUGGAGACCCAGUGCCGGCUUCACAGAUUCUCCAAAUUUGAAUCUGAGGACUCUGGGGUUGAGUUGCCAAGUGGGGCUAAUUCUCCAUCCACACCAAAGGGCUCUGAGAAGAGUUUUGUGCUUCACAGUAGAGACUCUUCUUGUGACUCUGGAGUGCUCAGUGCCUCUUCCUCUCCAGAAAUUGACCACAUUAUAAUGAGAGCAUGUCAAGACCCUGGAGAAGCUAAUCCCAACAGGAAUGCUCCAGAGAGCAAAAAUCAAGUGGAGCAGUACAGCCAGGUGAUAGACUCUAUGCAGAUUCCUGCAUCUUCCUUGGAAGAUUUCAGCAAUUGUCAGAAGGGAGAAAGUCCUGAUCAACUUUUUGGCCAAAGCAAAGGGCAGUCUUUAGAAGAGGAACCCAGCAAAGAGACAGACCUCCCCAUUCAUGAUACUCCUCCAACUGUGCCUCCCAUGGAAGAGCAAAAGACUACCACUAGCCAUUACAAAGAGACCUUUGGCAGCAUGCAGGAUCUUCAAAUUCAUGGAAAUCAACUUAAGAAAUAUCCCACGAGUGACAGUCUGGACGAGUACAUGGAUGAGUGCUGUCGAUUAAGUGAGGUGAAUCAAGGGAACACCAAGGUGCUUGGCUCUGGCCUCGGGUAUCUGGAACACAUCUGUCAGCUCAUCGAGAAAAUUGGACAACUACAGGAGCACAACCUCCGGCUCCAAAAACAAGUGUGCAGCUUGCAGAAAGAGCAGAAGAUGUACCAGAUAAAGGAGGAGUAUUUUCUGCAGCACUGCUCCUGUGGAGCUGCCAGCAUCUUGCUCAAUUCGUACCAGGAGGUGAAGAAACUUUUUACUGGGAGGAGCAGACCUCAUAGUCUCUUGGUUCAGAAUGGAAACCACUCUGAUCUUUCAAUCAUUCCAGAAAUAGCAGUCCACAGCGAAAAGCUGAGCAACUACAGAGGAAGUGGCAGACACCUGGAAUCUGGAAACAGUCAGCUGGUGACUGGGCUCAGGAAAUCAUCAAGUAAAUGGAGUAGCGAGGAGAAUGAGUUCAGAGAUUCUUACAAUGUAACUGAUGUACAAGCAUUAAAGGACCAAGCUAUGAAAAAGGGUUCUGUUGUCAGCCAGACCAUCUCAGGUGAAGGCCAUGCUUGGGGCAGAGUGAGGGAUCUCAUGAAGAAGACGAGGCUGCGGAACCAGAGCAAAUUGGGGCUGUCUUCAGCUGCUCUGAAAAGGUCCUGCCCACAGCUGUACAGGCCAGAUAUUAUGUCUUCAGAUCUGAGGAAGACAGAAAGGAACUCUAUGAUAGUGCUGGGGCACAGCACAAAGAAUGAAAACAUCUGGCCUCUCUGAUAAUCUGGAUGGAGUGGAACAAGAGAAGAACAUUACUGGACUCUAAACCACAAGCCCUGGGAUGCACCUAUAUUUUCCAGGCUGUGUCAUGGAAGGAAGAGAAAGAGUAGAAAGUAGGGGGGUAGAGAAAGGUUUGUUGAAGAGUGGCAUGUUUGGCUCUGUAUGGCUUUGCUCUCCAGUCUAGAGUGUGCUUAAAAACAAAGCUACAUAUCAGAAGCAUAAUUACUGGUCACAGCAACAGAAAUAGCAGGUAUGCUUAGCGUGUGCUGUGAAACCUCUUUUCUGGGCUAUGGACAGAUAUUUGAGUGCUGCUACUUGUUCUGUAUCCUUGUUCUCUGAAGUCUUUCUCCAGUGGAAACAUUCUUGAGCUUACAAAAAUGUCAUAGACUCUUUGCAUAUGGUAGAAGUUGCUGGUUGUGGGGUGUCAGGCUCAAGGGAGUUUUACUGCACACAUAUCUAAGCUGCAUACAUAUCUAAACCACAUUCACAUUCUGAAACAGUCAUUGCCCAUCUGUGAUUGGCAAGGAAAUGUUAAUGAAACCCAGGCAAUCACUGAGUCUCUGAAAGCUAAGAUUUUCUAAAACUAUAUUCAAAACAAUGUUUAAGACCCAAUCCAGUACAUGCAACCCACUUUAUCUCAGUGAAGCCCCAGUAAAUUCAGCAGAUCUCCAGGUAGACAGGAGAUUACACCAAUACUGAGGUCACUGGGGCCCAAAAGACACUUAAAUAAACAGCCUUAUCUUCAAGUUUUGAGGGAACA